GAGAAGCUUAAAAGUAUGUUAGAGACAGUUGACAAACCAGCAACUAACAAUUCUCAAUCAAGGAAUCCGGGUAUGUGUUCAUUGACACUUUCAGGACCGGGGCUCGGGGAAGAGGAUUGGACUAGCUAAGGAGCAUGAUGGACUCUAUUACUUGGAUACAUCAAGUCAACCAGAAUUUAGUAAAUCUGCCCUGUCCACAUUGUCUUCACCCUCCAAUAAAGAUGUCAUCUGGUUACAUCAUAGACGUCUAGGUCAUGUGUCUUUUUCUGCAUUAAAAAUAAUGUUUCCUUCCUUGUUCAAGGGAUUUGAUGUUCAGUCUUUUCAUUGUGAUAUUUGCGAGUAUGCUAAACACACUCGUGUCCCAUUUCCUAUCAGUAAUAAACGAUCGUCUUCUCCUUUCUUUUUAA